GCCUCUGGAGGAAGCUGCGUGGAAGAUCUACAAUUUUAUAUCUUACAUCUUAAUAAUGGUUGUGCUGAAAGCUACUUGGCUGAACUGCAGUCUACACACCUUUAUAAUCAAAGCAUUAGUGUCACUCUGACAUGAUGAUCUGAGGAUGGUAUCAGCUGCCAAGUCUUGCUUUUUGCACUUGGCCACAACGGGACCAGAAAGAUCCUCCAAGGACACCUGAUGCAGGACUGCAUGUUUGAUUUACAGCACUGCAUUGUGGGAGAUGGGAGUGUCUGCUGGGAUAUGCUGUUGCUGAGCAACAAGAGAAAGGAGAUAAAGCAGUUGGAGGAAUGAAGUACAGGUG